rnacentral:misc_RNA from 1 species
AUACUCUGUCCUGAAAUCUUCAUUGGCAUUGCCAGGCAGCAACGGGCAUACUCUCUUUGGACCUUCUCUGUACCUUGUUGAAACUGGACCACACCUGAAGCAAGCUAUCACACUGCAUCCAUGUGUUCAUUUCUGGGUUUUUACAUCCUACCUGGAGAGCAACACAUUAUAGUUACCUCUUUAUGUGCAGUACCCAGCUCAGUGUUAGGCAUAGAGGAGAAGCUCUGUGGAUGUAAAAAUGUCCUUUUGAAGGAAAAAAUGGUGGAAAAUUAUUCAGGUGGGUACAGAGUAGGCUUCCCUGGUGGUUCAGAUGGCAAAGAAUCAACCUGCUGUGCAAGAGAC